rnacentral:lncRNA from 10 species
AAAUGACCUAUGAAAACAUAGAAGUAUGGGAAAAUACCAUGUGAUGAUGGAGGCAGAGAUUGGAAUUAUGUAGCUGCAAGCCAAGGAAUUACAAGGUUUGCCAGUUAUGCCAGAAUCGAAGAGAAUGACAUGAAACAAAUUAUUCCCUGUAUCCUUUGAGAGAGUGUGGCUCUCUGCACAUGUUGCUUUCAGGCUUGGAGCCUCCAGAGCUUUAAGAGAAGCCACCCAGAUUGUGCUACUUUAUUAAGGCAUCAGAAACUAAUACAGAUUUCAGUACUUAAAAGUAAAUUGUUAUUAAAAAAUAACAUGUUUAAGUGGUUUUGAAAUUGGGUAACUGAUAAAGGCUAGAAGAGUUUUGAAAUGCACGAAAGAAAAUCCUAGAUUGGGCUGGGCACAGUGGUUUACGCCUGUAAUCCCAGCACUUUGGGAGGCCGAGGUAGGCAGACCACCUGAGGUCAGGAGUUCGAGACCAGUCUGGCCAACAUGACAAAACCCCAUCUCUACUAAAAAUACAAGAUUAGCUGGGCAUGGUGGCAUGUACCUGUAAUCCCAGCUACUUGGUAGGCUGAGGCAGGUGAAUAGCUUGAGCCUAGGAGGUCGAGGUUGCACUGAGCAGAGAUCGCGCCAUUGCACUCCAUCCUGGGUUAUAGAAUGUGACUCUGUCUCAAAAAAAAAAAAAAAAAAAAAAGAAAGAGAAAGAAAGAAAGAAAGAAAGAAAGAAAAGCCUAAAUUAAGGAGACUAUGGGUAGGUAGAGGUAAAUUAAAUAUAAUUCUAAUGAGGGAUGAGAUGGAAAUUAGGAUGUUAUUGAAAAUCAGAGCAAAGGUGAUUGUUGUUAUAGAGUGACAGAAAACUUUGCUGAAUUUUGUUGUUUUAGGUGGAAAGUAGAUCCUGUAAGCUGAGGAGACUUUGAAGUAAAAUGUUGAAAGUUUUUAUCUUGCUGCCUACAUUAAAAUGCAAAGAGAAAAGAUCAAUUAAAGAAGGGAAUGCAAAUGAAACCAGCAAUUUAUAAUUUGGAAAAUUUUCAGCCUAUCCAGAUAGCAUAGUUUGGAAGCAGGAACAAAGCUGUUUCUGCACAACCAUCUGCUAAUGAAAUUAGGCUUGAGACUCUUGGACUCAAUCAUCUAAGCAAAAUCUGGGAAUAGACAUGUGAUUAUGGAAGAAAUAUUUGUAGAGGACCUUCUUGCCUAAUGGCAUAAACCCCUGUGGAUUUUGUGGGAGUCCUUAGGCUUUUGAAAAUGUAAUAUCAGCAGAAACAUUGCCAACCUGUACUGAACAGUACAGAGAGAAGUUAAAAUGGAGGAAGAAUGGCUCUGAGGAGGGAGCCUCUGAUGUCUAGGCUCAUAAGACCUAUUGGUUCCAGAAGGUGGGAUCAACUCUUGGUUCUGAAGUGUGAGGCUGCCAUUCAAGACCAAGUAAGAAGGCUACCUUGGAAGGCCCAGAAGACAGAGUAUUGAGCCAGAGAGAAUUAUACUCAAGUCUUAAAACCUAAAUGGAAAAAAUCUUUGCUUGAGAAGGAACCAUAUCCUGAGUCUUACCCAUAAAAGGAUUUUGAUGAGAUUUUGGACCUUAAGUUGAUAUUGGAAUAGUUAAGACUUUUGGAUCAGGUGAAUGUGGUUUGCAUACAGAAAGGCCAUGCUUUAUUUUUAUUUUUAUUUUUUGAUGGGGGAAGCAAAGGGAAGACUUUUAAAGGUUGAAUUGUGUCCCCAAAAGCUAUGUUGGAGUCUUAAUUCUCAGUAUCUCAGAAGGUGAAUUUACCUGGAAAUAGAUUGCAGCAGAUGAAAUUAAUUAAGUUAAUACAAGGUUAUACUAGAUUAGGAUGGGCUUCUAGUUCAAUAUGACUGAGAUUAUUAUAAGACAACAAAAUAAAUACAUGAAAAAACACAAAAAUGCAGGGAGAGUUCUAUAUAAUGGUGAAUUCAGAGAUUGAAAUUUUGCAGUUGCAAAGGAUGAAAAGUUAAAGAUUAUUGGUGGUACCAGAAGCUAAAACCAUGGAACAUAUUCUCCCUUACAGUCUUCAAGAAAGCAUGAGUAUGCUGACACAUUGAUUUUGGACUUCUAGCCUCAGACCAUUGAGAGAAAAUUAAUUUAUGUUGUUUUCAGCCACCCAGUUUGUGGCACUUUGUUAUAGCAGCCCUGGGAAACUAGUGCACUAAAUGUAUAUACAUAAGCUUUUUUUUGUAGCAUCUUUGAGCUGUCAUGUAUUUUUAAAUAUUUGAUUGCUAAAAAUUUGCUAUUACUGAAGGGAUUCUGAAGGGCUACUGGCUCCACAUAUUUUACACAUUAAACCUUUCCAAGACCUGAUUUUAUCAGUAUGUUUACUGCUAAAGCAUUUGCUUAA